ensembl:processed_transcript
AUCUCUGAGAAUGAGGGGACUGGGUGACUUUGCAGUGUCUGCUUUCUAAGUUUCAAAGUGGCUUUCCAGGCAAGCUGCGCAUAUCUUGGGAUCUUCACAGCACAGUGGCUGGGAAGGCAGGCGAACCCGUCUAUCAGCUUCUCCCUGGCGCGUCCCCAAGCAUGUACCACAGCACCCGAGUGUGGGCAGAAGCCCUCGUGCUGAGUGGGAUGAAGCUUUGAAGAGGCUGAGACCUAUGAGAACCGAAGAACCUUUGAAUCUCCCUUCAGCUCCCCUACCCUGACCACAGCCCUCCUCUUGAUGUAAAACAUGUGUUGAACUUGAGAACAAGGAGGCUGGCGUCUGUGCCAGGAAGA